GACGAACGCUGGCGGCGUGCCUAAUACAUGCAAGUCGAACGCAGUGGGGACGGGUGAGUAACACGUGGGUAACCUCCCAUCAGAGGGGAUAACACUUGGAAACAGGUGCUAAACCGAUACUGAUGGAUGGACCCGCGGUGCAUUAGCUAGUUGGUGAGGUAACGGCUCACCAAGGCCACGAUGCAUAGCCGACCUGGUGGGGUGUUUGGCCAAAUGGGGACUGAGACCGUGCCCAGCUCCCUACGGGAGGCAGCAGUAGGGAAUUGUCGGCAAUGGACGAAAGUUUGACCGAGCAACGCCGCGUGAGUGAAGAAGGUUUUCGGAUCGUAAACCUCUGUGGUUAGAGAAGCGGUAUCUACCCAGAAAGCCACGGCUAACUACGUGCCAGCAGCCGCGGUAAUUC
rnacentral:rRNA from 1 species